UAUCGGUUCGCGUAAAUUAUGUUGUUACACGUACGUAACUCUAUCGAAAUAUUAUAUGGUAAUAAAUUCACGAUAGCAAACUUUUUAUAUAGGGCAGGGAGAGCGCGUACAAUUUUUGAAUACAGCAUGUUGUUUGUUAAAAUUUGGAAUCCCUCGCUAGAUUUAUGUCGUGAAAGUACACGGUACAUUUUUAUAUUACGAUAGCUAAACCAAAGAAAAUAGAUUUAACAUCGUUUCCUGUUCCACAGGCGACGCGAUUCCAUGUGUCCAAAAUUGUAGAUACAACUUUGACGGUAGUAUUAUUUACAAUGUUAUAUUAUUGUAUCCGAUCAAUACAUAAAAUAUGUCCUGUAUUUAUUGUAAAUCAAUCUGUAUAUCUAUUUACAUUUAAUAACAGCGAUUUUAUACUUACCGGACCUUCCGUACCCUUCCGUAUUCAAUUAAAUUACCUUCUUAGUUUUUAUUAAACGAAACUAUUUCUUUGCAAAAGACGCGUCCUACGGCAGAGAGAUCCGUAGUCGUAGGUUGUUGGUAAGGGGUGUAUCGACGACGAAAGUACAUUUUUUUAAAUAGAACUUUCUAUUUUUUUAUUAUACCAUGACACCGUUCUUUUUUUUAGAUCGAUACAACGAUCCACGACGCGAUACCGUAUUCCAUUUUGUAUAAUAUUAUUCAUUGAAUCGAACCAAGUUACGAUUGGAUAUAUAUUCAUUUGGUACUUUGUAUUUAUUAUCGAAAGGAUGAAAAGGCAUCCUCUUAAUAUUUCAUUUACAGUUUCUAGUUUCCGUUCGCUUGUACUUACUUAACGAUACGUAUAACAAAGUGGUAUAAUAAAAUACGAUUCGUAGCUACAUUCGUUGCUACAUUAUUUGCUGUAUCUGUCGUUACGAUAUUCGUUGCUUAUACGUAUUAGGCGCUUUUUCACCGAUUACUUGUUUCGCGAAUACUGUCGUAGAGCUUAUUAAAAAAUCGAUGCUGCGCGUACGAUGGUAAAAACGAGGAGUUUAAAAUUACAAAUCGUUGCGAAAAUUCUAACAAAAGUUCGAACAAACUUCUAUCGUUUACGCGGAAGGGUGACGAUGCGUCUUGUUAUAACCGAACCGAAAACACGUAUCCAACUGCCCUUGAGCGAGUCUAAAAAUUGAUUUUGUCGCAUACGAAUGCCGCGUGUUACACCGGUUAGGUGUUUGCGAGUUGACCGCGAGCUGUUUGCAGUAUCGCGUUUACGCUAGAGUUUGCCGAAAUCUCGGAAACAGCUCGCGUAUUGUAAUCACAUGUUAGCGAGAAGGGCAUUCUAACAAGGCAUUCGAUGUGUCGCGCGCAUCGUGAAACGAACGAGCGUUAGUUUCUCGUGAACAAGUUCGCUGUCACCUGUUCCGAGCACCGCGUAACAAAACUAUUUUUUAAGAUGUUGCACCAGUUUUAUCGUGACGCGUUACGCGUCGAAAAGAAUGCAAUAUUCUAGAAUUGAAAACACACACACACACACACACACACACACAGAGAAAAUACACGGACUCUCGUAUCGAAAUUUUCAGCUACAUUUUUUAUUUCUCAACCGUUCCUUGGACGCGUACGAACACGCCGGAAUCAAGUUCUCAGUCAACUUUUCGACAAGAUCGACGAACGAAUUUUAAGUAGCCGAGUAACCGAGCGAGCGCUGCACCUGGCGACGCGAGCCGAGAAGUGACGCAAGAGCCGCUAGGUCUGUCUACAGACUCACGCCGUGUAAUGUAUGGAAGAAACUGAAAAGGGCUCCGAUCAGCGACAGCACUCCGGAAAACACCCAUAUGAUCAACGCCUGUCCCACGCUGUUGCUGUUCAUCAAAACACCUUUCGGCGCGACGAAAAUUCCGGCGCCGACGAUGAUGCCGACGAUGAUCGCCACGCCGUCCCAUAAUCCCAGUUCCUUUUGCAAUUUGACGGUAUCGGAACCGGAGUCGGACCCGAUGGGCCUCAAGACCCGCUUCUCGGCUGGCGCGACUUUGUCCGGCAUCGUGUGUCUCCGUGCCUCUGGCCCUCUCGCUUUUCCUCUACCUAACUACUAGCCGCGAGAUACUCGCCGGUCCGUCGAUGAAAAACUACUGAACGGUCCGACUGUUCGUUCAUGCCGCGCGAGGUAGAAACGUGUGAUAUGCACGUGUGAAAACGAAAAAAGAUAGACCGAGAGGGACAGAGUGGGAGGGAGAGAAAGGGAGAGGGAGAAAGAGGACCGCGUGGCGCGGUUACUCGCACUUGACGGAUACACGUGCGCGAUUACUGCAAUCCCGUCUGCAACUACGACGGAGUCGCCGUCUCGCGGACACCGUAACCUCUAAUCGGAGUUGGCCCGCGUUGGUUCGGUUCGUCUCGCCAGCGUUCCCUUCUCGUUCCCGUACCCGUUUUCGUUCUUGUUCCCGUUCCCGUUUCCGUUUCCGUUCCACGCACCUUGUCCUGCGUUCAUUCAA